rnacentral:rRNA from 2 species
UACGUAGGUGGCAAGCGUUGUCCGGAUUUAUUGGGUUUAAAGGGUGCGUAGGCGGCUUGAUAAGUCAGUGGUGAAAGCCGAUCGCUUAACGAUCGAACUGCCAUUGAUACUGCCAGGCUUGAGUAUAGUUGAGGUAGGCGGAAUUGACAGUGUAGCGGUGAAAUGCAUAGAUAUUGUCAAGAACACCAAUUGCGAAGGCAGCUUACUAAAGUAUAACUGACGCUGAGGCACGAAAGUGCGGGGAUCAAACAGG